UACAGAGGGUGCGAGCGUUAAUCGGAAUUACUGGGCGUAAAGAGCGCGCAGGCGGUUAUUCAAGUCGAAUGUGAAAGCCCCCGGCUUAACUGGGGAGGGUCAUUCGAUACUGUUUAACUUGAAGGCAGGAGAGGGAAGUGGAAUUCCCGGUGUAGUGGUGAAAUGCGUAGAUAUCGGGAGGAACACCAGCGGCGAAGGCGGUGCUCUGGGCCGGAACUGACGCUGAGGAGCGAAAGCGUGGGGAGCGAACAGGG
rnacentral:rRNA from 1 species